CGUGCAUAAUACAUGCAAGUCGAACGCAUUGUGGUUGAAAUGAUAUGAAGAACUUGUUCAGAUUUGAUUUUCAACACUGCAAUGAGUGGCGAACGGUGAGUAACACGUGGGAAACCUACCUCUUAGCAGGGAUAACAUUUGGAAACAAAUGCUAAUACCGUAUAAUAAUUAAAACCGCAUGGUUUUAGUUUAAAAGAUGGUCUUGCUAUCACUAAGAGAUGGUCCCGCGGUGUAUUAGUUAGUUGGUGAGGUAAUGGCUCACCAAGACAAUGAUACAUAGCCGAGUUGAGAGACUGACCGGCCACAAUGGGACUGAGACACGGCCCAUACUCCUACGGGAGGCAGCAGUAGGGAAUCUUCCACAAUGGACGAAAGUCUGAUGGAGCAAUGCCGCGUGUGUGAUGAAGGGUUUCGGCUCGUAAAACACUGUUGUAAGAGAAGAAUGACAUUGAGAGUAACUGUUCAAUGUGUGACGGUAUCUUACCAGAAAGGAACGGCUAAAUACGUA
rnacentral:rRNA from 1 species